CCUUUGACGUUAGCGGCGGACGGGUGAGUAACACGUGGGUAACCUACCUAUAAGACUGGGAUAACUUCGGGAAACCGGAGCUAAUACCGGAUAAUAUUUCGAACCGCAUGGUUCGAUAGUGAAAGGUGGUUUUGCUAUCACUUAUAGAUGGACCCGCGCCGUAUUAGCUAGUUGGUAAGGUAACGGCUUACCAAGGCGACGAUACGUAGCCGACCUGAGAGGAUGAUCGGCCACACUGGAACUGAGACAACCGGUCCCAGACUCCUACGGGGAGGCAGCAGGCG
rnacentral:rRNA from 1 species